rnacentral:sRNA from 1 species
GUUCUUCACAGCAUCGGCUGCUCCUUGUGCCAUGUUCUUCACUUGUCCACCCGUCUACACUCCAAAAUCAUAAUUAAUGCA